UGCUGGCCUGAAGGUAGUGAGUUAUCUCAACUGGCCUGAAGGUAGUGAGUUAUCUCACAGAUGAAACUCCUUGCUCUACUCUUUCCCCGCUUCUCACUAUGGCACUUGACUGGUCUACA
rnacentral:Y_RNA from 1 species